CACACUGUACAUCAAAUGACAUGACUUACCUUAUUUAAACUUUAAAGAAUCCCAGGAGAUGAGCAGAACAAAUAUUUGUAUUUUAGAUGUGACAAAAAGAUCUCAGAGAGCUCUAGGAACUGUCUGAGAAUCAAGGAAUUUCUACAACUGUUCUCGAAAAAGCUGUCAUCUUUUGUAGCCUCAAGACUAAUUUAGAUGGAAAUCAGAUGGAAAGCCUGAUGCUGCAGUUUGUUGAAUUAUAAGCUGGAUGCUAAUGAACAUAAGGGCCCAUGUACCUGGCAGAGCCACGAAUGGAAGGAGUCUGAUUCUUCAAUGACCCUGACUGUAGAAGAGCUGACCUACUGACUGUUAUGCUUCCUGUUAUGUGAGCAAAAUGUAUACAACUAUGGUAAAACUUUAUUUAGGUCUCUUUAUUAUGGCAGUUAGCCUACCCUAAAUAAUCCAGAGUGCUAAUGACCUGGUAAUUGUUGAUGGCAGUCCUGUAUGAAGGUACCUGAUUCUUGGUAACAAAUAAGAAGGUAGAAGAAGACUGAGAAUGGAUGACUUAUUUUUCCUGGCGGCACCAUUGGUUUUGUUAUAUAGAGCUACAUUUGAAGUUUUGGAUUCAAUUCAGUACACAAUUAAGAAGUGUCUGGUGUGCAGGGCCUUGUAAAUAAAUUUCAGUAGUAGGAAGGGGUGAAGGAAAGAAAUGUUGGGUCAUCCUUGACUUUUAAAAUGCUUUCUACGCAGAGAAGCCCUAUCAUUAGCAUCAACAACGAUCCUCUACUGACCUCCGGGCUUAAUGCUUCGAGUUCGUCUCCAAGGUCAGUAGAAUGAUUUUGAAUUUCUCUACUAGCUUUAUUGGAAUUUGUUAAGAGAAAAAGAACCCCAGUUUCAACUCACUUGUGCAGCUUCUUCAAAGGGCCCUGGGCUAACCAAACCAGCUCACUUUUCUCUUUAUAAAUUACA
rnacentral:lncRNA from 1 species